GACCCCUGAGGCUUUCACUGUAAAGGACUAGGCUCGUCUCCGUCUGAUGAGAGGGGUUAGGUCCAGGGCCCCGGACCCCUGAGGCUUUCACUGUAAAGGACUAGGCUCGUCUCCGUCUGAUGAAUCCGCUCCACACACACGCAGGUAUGCCGGAGGUGGGGGCCAGAGCUGCCCCAGGUGGCGGCCGGCCCAGGGUCUCUUCCACGUCUGGGUCUGAUGAUCACGGCUCUGAGACCUGGACAAGCCUUGAUUUCCUCUGAAGGGGUUUGGUGACGGCCUGAUGCGUGAGAGGAAGUGUUGGCAGGACACCUAUCCUUGGGGGGCUGGGGGU
rnacentral:lncRNA from 1 species